rnacentral:rRNA from 1 species
CUCAGGAUGAACGCUGGCGGCGUGCCUAAGACAUGCAAGUCGAACGGGUUUAGACCCGUGGCGAAUGGGUGAGUAACGCGUGGGAACUUUCAUUAAGUUCGGAAUAACCUCCCGAAAGGGAGAGCAAUACCGGAUGUGGUCGCAAGACUAAAGGAGCAAUCCGCUUAAUGUGAGGCCUGCGUGCCAUCAGCUAGUUGGUAGGGUAAAAGCCUACCAAGGCUAUGACGGCUAGGGGCCCGAGAGGGUGAACCCCCACACUGGGACUGAGACACGGCCCAGACUCCUACGGGAGGCAGCAGUGGGGAAUAUUGGACAAUGGGCGCAGGCCUGAUCCAGCAAUGCCGCGUGAGUGAUGAAGGCCUUAGGGUUGUAAAGCUCUUUCGGCAGGAACGAAAUGGUUCGUGCUAAUACCACGGACUGAUGACGGUACCUGAAGAAGAAGCACCGGCUAACUACGUGCUAGCCGCCGCGGUAAUUC